rnacentral:rRNA from 1 species
AACGAACGCUGGCGGCAUGCCUAACACAUGCAAGUCGAACGAACCCUUCGGGGUUAGUGGCGCACGGGUGCGUAACGCGUGGGAAUCUGCCCUUUGCUUCGGAAUAACUCAGGGAAACUUGUGCUAAUGCCGGAUGAUGUCUUCGGACCAAAGAUUUAUCGGCAAGGGAUGAGCCCGCGUAGGAUUAGGUAGUUGGUGGGGUAAAGGCCUACCAAGCCGACGAUCCUUAGCUGGUCUGAGAGGAUGAUCAGCCACACUGGGACUGAGACACGGCCCAGACUCCUACGGGAGGCAGCAGUGGGGAAUAUUGGACAAUGGGCGCAAGCCUGAUCCAGCAAUGCCGCGUGAGUGAUGAAGGCCCUCGGGUCGUAAAGCUCUUUUACCAGGGAUGAUAAUGACAGUACCUGGAGAAUAAGCUCCGGCUAACUCCGUG